rnacentral:antisense_RNA from 1 species
UGUUAACGGGAAGAAAUCUGUAUCUUUUGCUUGUUUUGUACCAACAGCCGCUGUUAACACAACAGUAUCACCGUAACGUACUAACACAGCACCAUUGGCUUGUUUUGCUAAUUGGCCGAUUUCAACUGUUAAUUGACGUCCGCCCCAGUUGUAGCUAAAAACUUUCUUUUCUGACAUAACUAAUCUCCUUUUCUCUUAUUUGCGUAUCUUCCAGACCUACUUUUAGAAAUAAAAAUGUUCGAGUGUUCGAGCACUUUUAUUUCUAAAGUAAGAUGACUCUAGAAGAUACAAAGUUUGUCAUACAGAGUCAUUU